AUGUUGGGGGCUUGGUCUUGUGAAGCCAUUUCUUGUAGUCUGCAAGAUGCAUCUAUGCAUGGGAGAUAACGAGCAAUGGCUAGUUCAUAAUAGCCGAGUAUACAACGACAUUAAUGAGAAUUUAAAGUGUUUUAAGAUAUUUAAGGAAAAUGUUGAAUCUUCCAAUAACAACGCAAACAAAUCAUACAAGUAUGAAGCGUCAAUCGAUUUGCAGAUCUUACGAAUGAAGAGUUCAAAGCAACAAGAAAUAGAUUCAAGGGGCAUGAAUGCUCGACAAAGACAACUUCUUUCAAAUAUGAAAAUGUUACGGAAGUGCCAGCUACAGUGGACUGGAGAAAACAAGGAGCUGUUACCCCAAUGAAGGACCAAGGCCAAUGUGGUAAUUAA
rnacentral:lncRNA from 1 species